CCGCUCAUUACUCAAGGACAUGGCUCAGGAACCCUCCCUGCCAGGCUCCAGCAGGCUAGCCUCAAGUUCACAAUGAAGCCAAGGAUGACCUGGAACUCAGGAUUUUCCAGCUUUGACCUCCUGAGUGCUAAAAUUAAAGAUCUGCAUCAUCACUCCCAGCAGAGAAAGCAUCUUUAAAGGUACAAAUGUGUAUGUGAGCGCAGUAGUGUGCUGAGGUUAGAGGUGCUGAAUCUUCCAGAUCUGGAGUUACAGACAACUGCAAGCCAUCUGAAGUAAGUGCUAGGAACCAAAUUUGGGUUCUCUGGAGAUUUGCAAGUGUUUUUAACUACUAAGACAUCUUUCUAGCCAUGAAAAAAAAAAAAAAACACCUUUUGGGGGGUGGGAUUUAUUUUAUGUUCUAUUGCUAUGAAGAGAAACCAUGACCCAUGACCAUGGCAAUUCUUACAAAGGAAACCCUUUAAGCAACAGGAAAAAGAGACCACUGGGCCUGGCUUGAGCAUUUGAAACCCCAAAGCCCACUCCCAGUGACACACUUCCUCCAACAAGGCCACACCUAGCCCAACAAGGACAUACCUCCUAAUAGUGCUACUCCCUGGUGGCCAAGCAUUCAAAUCUGUGAACCUGUGGGGGCCAUUCUUUGUUGUUUUUGGUUUUUCGAGACAGGGUUUCUCUGUGUAUUCGAGGCCAGCCUGGUCCACAGAGAAUUCCAGGACAGCCUCUCCAAAGCUACAGAGAAACCCUGUUCUGAAAAACCAAAAAAAGAAAGAAGGAAAGAAAUGAUUUCAGGAUGGGCAGUGGUGGCAAAUGCCCUUAAUCCCAGUUCUCAGGAGGCAGAGGCUAGCCUUGGUCUAAAGGGUGAGUUCCAAGACAGUAAAGGCUCCACAGAGAAACCCUUCCUCGAAAAACAAACAACAAAAAGAAAUUAUUUCACUGGUGCCUCAUUGACCUAGAGAAAGUUCUGAGAGGUACAUAUGAAGGUCACAGCCCAAGCAAGCUACAGGCUCCCUGCAAAAGGAAGCCCUAAUUACAGGGCAGCAGAGCCAGUCUGGUCCCCACUCUUAGCAGCACAUUCCUCCCAGAGGCCUACUUACCACAGUCCCUUUUCACCACCUCGUGUCUGGCUUUCUACACAAAAUUACAAGGCACACAAAAAGGUCAGAGGCAGGGUUUGAGGAGACAGGUGCACAUUCCACCCCUUAUCAGACUUCAUCUCAGGCCUGUAGAUUCUUGAAAAUUCCAGGGUACAGUCAGGCCAGGUGAGUGUUACCUUGAAAUCUGUUUUGAUCUUCCAGCCUUCCCAGAAAAAGUCUCUCUGGCAGAACUGUCUAUGGGUCCAAAUGAGGCUCCAGGGUGGGAAGUGGCCCCUUCGGUGUAGUGUGACUACACUGAAGAUUUUAUUUAUUCAGUGUAGUGUAACUACACUGAAGAUUUUAUUUAUUCAGUGUAGUGUGACUACACUGAAGAUUUUAUUUAUUCAGUGUAGUGUAACUACACUGAAGGCCUGACUUCCCGCGUGGGUUUGUGGCGGGUCCUCCUAGAAUCACAGAGCCACAGAAUGAAUUCAUCCAGGCAGGGAAAGUGACCAGCACAAUCGAGGCUCCAGAAACACACAGCUGCACAAGUGAUUAGGGCACUUGGUCAGCGUCUGCCUGCUGCGGGCAGAGGCAUUUGCUGCCAAGACUAGGGUUGUGAGUUUGAUCCCUGGGCCUCGAAUGGUGGAAAGAGAGAACUGGCUUUCGUGGUGUCCUCCAAAGCACACUUCCCCAUGCCACACACACCCCACCUCCCCACAUGCCAUAAAUAAAUAAACGCAAGAAAUUUAAGAAUGUGGUCUAUAAUUGAGGAGAAAAGAGCAAUCAGUCCCUUUAUUAGGAUCUGGCAGACAUGUUCAACCUUAGGCCUGUGGGUCCCACUCAAAAAUCUUGCUUGAGAUUUUUUUUAUUUUUUAUUUUGAGAAACAGAGUUUCUCUGUGUAGCCUUGGCUGUCCUGGAACUCACUCUGUCUAACAGACUGGCCUUGAACUCACAGAGAUCCGCCUUCCUCUGCCUCCUGAGUGCUGGGAUUAAAACUGUGAGCCACACCAUAUCCUGCUAAUCCCUCCAAAAUGAAAUAAAGUGUGUGUGCAUGCACACAGAGUUGGAGGAGGCUUUGAGGACAAGGCCAUCACAGCAGUGACAACUUCUUUCAAGCCUGCAGGCUUUGCAAUGAGGCCAUGUCUCUCCUGGGCACAAGAAUCUUCCUACAGAGCUGCUAACGGCCAGAUGGGGCACUCUGACUGCACCCUUCAUGCCAGUCUCUCUACGUGAAAAGAUGAACACAGCUCAGGCAAUCCAUCAAACAGCAUCAAAAUGCCUUCUGCCUGCAGUGACCACAAAUGACAGCGUGUUUCAGAGCAGGAGGGGGAAGGGAGGUGACACCAAGACUCAUGGAACUCCAUUGCUCUUUAGUCUCUCAUCUUGGUCCCACAUGACCAAAUCAUCACACAAAUAUAAUUUUUAGGGCUGGAGGAAGGCUCUUGCAGAUGACCCAACACACACACACGGUGGCUCACAACUGCCUCUAACUCCAGCUCCAAGGAUCUGAUAGCUUCUUGUGAUCCUUGAGAGCUCCUACACACAAACAGUGCAAACAAGUACACUCAGGUACACACAAGCCCAUAUAAAUAAAUUGUUAGCCCCCAUAAGUGGCAAUUACGAUUCUAAUUUUCUUUUCUGUUCUCUGUGCUGGAGACUGAGCCCAAGGCCUCUCACAUACCAGGCAUCAGCUCUAGCCCUGAAUCACACAACCAGAUCAGAAAUUGCAAUUGUGUUGUGUUGUGUACUAGUCUUUCCUUUAGAUCACCAACCAGCUCCCAAACCAGGGCAUGGAGCUUAGAUUCUUUCAAAUUAACCUGUUACUCUUUAUCUACCUUUUGCCCGGGGGUGGUGGUGGUGGUGUUCACUCUUUUUGUUUCUUCUGUAUAUCUUUUUUUUGUUUGUUUUGUUUUUUUUGAGACAGGGUUUCCCUGUGGCUUUGGAGGCUGUCCUGGAACUAGCUCUUGUAAACCUGGCUAGUCUCGAACUCACAGAGAUCCGCCUGCCUCUGCCUCCGGAGUGCUGGGAUUAAAGGCAUGUGCCACCAACACCGGGCCACAUCUUUACAUUGUUAAUAAAGGCAGCAGAAACACAUGGAACACUCCUUUCUUUACACACAAUAAAGUAACAUUCCACAACAUAAACAAAUGUAACGGAUUUGCCUAGUUAAAAUAAUAUUCUACAACUGUGUUGUCUGCCUGUUUAUUGAGACAUGUGUCUCUGUGCAGCCUCAGUUGGCCUGGAACACACAAUGUAGGUCAUGCUGGUCUGGAACCUGUAGCACUUUUCCCGCCUCUGCCUGCUGAGUGUGGAAUUAGGUCACCACAUGUAGUAAGACCUCCAAAUGUCUUAAUACUUGAAC
rnacentral:lncRNA from 1 species